UGCUCUCAAGUAGCAAGUCUUAGGGGGGUUUUUCCGCUGACAAAGAAAAUUCUCCUUUAAAGAGAAAUUUUGAAAAUUUGUUAUAAAAAGUAGAAUAUAUUGGUUCCAAAAUUCACAAAAAAUAGGUACAAAUAUUUUAAGCGUGUUGAAGGCGUUAUCGAUGAAGAAGGAACUUGUUGAUUUAAGUCUUGAUGAAGAGGAGGACGAAGGUUUGCAAUUUACGACUGAGGCCAAGAUUUAGAGAUCAGUAUACAAGUUUUGUUUAGUUGGAUGUUGUCUUAUACCAAGUGUGGUCCACUUUCCUGUGAUGAAGAACACGAUGGCUAACUUGUGGCACUCGUUGGGGGGAAUCCAGAUCUUUGACCUAGGAAGACAUCUAAAUUAGGAUCUGACGAUGUGCAGGAGCUCGGGUUGUUUUGCACUUAGUUAACUACAAUUUAAUCUUUUGGAUUUGUAAUCUAUUUUGGACUUGUCUUAUUUCUUUUUUUAUAAUCUUGUCAGUAUUUGUCAAGUCUAAAAUGAAACUACAAAAUCACCUAAUUUGACUAAAAUGAA